CAAUAAUGACAUCUCAGCUUAACAUUUGUAGUCUUUUCCUUGAAAAGCCCACACUUCCUGUAAGUGCAGCUUAAAAUUAUAUAUUUUUCUAUGUUUUUCAUGGGUUUUGAAAUUUCGGAAACAAGUUUUCACGGCGUAAUGAAAGCGAAGGCGCGUAGUGUAACCAAAGAUGGAUGACGUGCGGAAGAGAAAAUAAACGCCCGUUGCAAAACCCGACCUGUGUUCUCAGGAGAAGAGUCACACUUCCUAAUAUGUCCAAUUGUAUUUAGUAGUUUUAUAUCUGUGCUAAUGUAUAUUAAACGCAGGAGACAAGUGUCACAUGAGACCCCAAAGCACCAUAGCUCACACAGGGUAACCCCAGUCUUGAAUGGAAAACAACAGCAACAUGAGGUCCAAACUUAUGACAUAUUAGGGAUUCUGUUGUAUGGUACAUUAACAUAACAUGAACUAACAUGAAAAGCACAGAGGAUUUUCUUUCUUUUUUUUGUAAGAAAUUAUGCCAGCAUCUCACCUGCUUUACCUUUACUUACCCUUGUGUGUUGCAUUUUUAUUUCCUUUGUGUGAUUAUUGCAAAAUCUGACUUUAUUGUUUAUAAACCCAAAUACAUAAUGAAUUUGUGUUUUUUUUCAUUUCUGAAUUCAUAUAUCAGAAGACAAAAUGGUUCUGAAAAUGGUGUUGUGGACAGCUCACCUCUUUAUCCCAUCCACAGAUCAUGCUCCCCAUAGAGAGACCCAUCCCUCUGUAGCCAAGCAUCAUGUUGGACAGCAGCUUGGAGGCAGCAGCCACAGAAAUGCGGUGGUUGUUCCUCAGUUUGUACAGUC